rnacentral:lncRNA from 1 species
UGUAAAUGAAGCAAAUGAUAAUAAAACAAGGAUUAAUCUAUUAUCUUUAUUUUUAGGGACAGUCUAGGGAUGCACUUGAAAAGGUUUACACUGAAGAGCGAGAAUGGGGUCACGCUGAAGAAGUGCAGGUUGCCUUCAUGGACCUUCCUUCACCUAGUGCCCAGACAUCACACCAUUCUGGGAUUCACCUGGUCAGAGCUGGAAGAAAUCGUAUUGAAUUCUUUAUUCAGGGGAUAGUUAUUUACUUAUUCCACAAAUAUCUAUUGAGCACCUAUAAUGUGAUGAAACAAAAAUGUGAAACAUAGCAGCAGCUUUACUCAAAAUGUCUGAAACUUACAAGCAAGGAAGGUGUCCUUGAGUACAUGAAUGGAUAAACAAACUGGGGUACAUCCAGACAAUGAAAUACUGUUCAGUGGUAAAAUUAAAUGAGCUAUUAAACCAUGAAAAGACAUGGAGGAAACUUAGACAUGUUGCUAAGUGAAAGUAGCUUAUCUCAAAAGUCUAAGUACUACAUGAUUCCAACCGUAUGACAGGGUAGAAAAGGCAAAAGACAAGAAAGAGAUCAGGAGCCAGCCUGGUGGCACAGUGCUUAAGUUUGCAUGUUCUGCUUCUCGGUGG